rnacentral:rRNA from 1 species
UACGGGGGGAGCAAGCGUUGUUCGGAUUUACUGGGCGUAAGGGGCGCGUAGGCGGCCUGUGCAAGUCAGUUGUGAAAUCUCCGAGCUUAACUCGGAACGGUCAACUGAUACUGCUCGGCUAGAGUGCGGAAGGGGCAACUGGAAUUCUUGGUGUAGCGGUGAAAUGCGUAGAUAUCAAGAGGAACACCUGCGGCGAAGGCGGGUUGCUGGGCCGACACUGACGCUGAUGCGCGAAAGCUAGGGGAGCGAACGGG